rnacentral:lncRNA from 1 species
UCAUUACCCCGUCCGGUAUGAGGGUGAAACGGGCCGUCCCCAUACCCCGUCCGGUAUGGGCGCCAAAACACAUAAGAUCUCCAUACCCCGUCCGGUAUGAGAGACCACAAUCCCGGUAGGGUUCCCUACGGACCCGGUCCGUCCACCAUCUCCCAGGAUAUCUAGUCAGGCUGACCACAUUAUACCAUUACCCAUUUACAUAAUUUUUCAUUCUCUUUUUCCUCAGUCAGUAUCAUUAAUCCACAUACAAGCAAGC